GACAGAGGGUGCAAACGUUGUUCGGAAUUACUGGGCAUAAAGAGCACGUAGGUGGUUCGCUAAGUCACGUGUGAAAUCCCCCGGCUUAACUGGGGAGGGUCAUUCGAUACUGCUCGACUUGAAGGCAGGAGAGGGUAGUGGAAUUCCCGGUGUAGCGGUGAAAUGCGCAGAUAUCGGGAGGAACACCAAUGGCGAAGGCAGCUUGCUGGGACGGUACUGACGCUGAGACGCGAAAGCGUGGGGAGCAAACAGG
rnacentral:rRNA from 1 species